CCUACGGGAGGCUGCAGUGGGGAAUAUUGGACAAUGGGGGCAACCCUGAUCCAGCCAUGCCGCGUGUGUGAAGAAGGCCCUCGGGUUGUAAAGCACUUUCAGUGAGGAAGAACGCCUGGUGGUUAAUACCCAUCAGGAAAGACAUCACUCACAGAAGAAGCACCGGCUAACUCCGUGCCAGCAGCCGCGGUAAUACGGAGGGUGCGAGCGUUAAUCGGAAUUACUGGGCGUAAAGCGCACGUAGGUGGCUUGAUAAGCCGGUUGUGAAAGCCCCGGGCUCAACCUGGGAACGGCAUCCGGAACUGUCAAGCUAGAGUGCAGGAGAGGAAGGUAGAAUUCCCGGUGUAGCGGUGAAAUGCGUAGAGAUCGGGAGGAAUACCAGUGGCGAAGGCGGCCUUCUGGACUGACACUGACACUGAGGUGCGAAAGCGUGGGUAGCAAACAGGAUUAGAUACCCUUGUAGUC
rnacentral:rRNA from 1 species